GAUGAACGCUGGCGGCGUGCUUAACACAUGCAAGUCGAACGAACCUUCGGGUUAGUGGCGGACGGGUGAGUAACGCGUGGGAAUCUGCCCUCAGGAGGGGGAUAACGGUUGGAAACGGCCGCUAAUACCCCAUAUGCCGAGAGGUGAAAUGAAUUUCGCCUGAGGAUGAGCCCGCGUCUGAUUAGCUAGUUGGUGAGGUAAGAGCUCACCAAGGCAUCGAUCAGUAGCUGGUCUGAGAGGAUGAUCAGCCACACUGGGACUGAGACACGGCCCAGACUCCUACGGGAGGCAGCAGUGGGGAAUUUUCCGCAAUGGGCGAAAGCCUGACGGAGCAACGCCGCGUGAGGGAUGAAGGCCUCUGGGCUGUAAACCUCUUUUAUCAAGGAAGAAGAUCUGACGGUACUUGAUGAAUAAGCCACGGCUAAUUCCGUGCCAGCAGCCGCGGUAAUACGGGAGUGGCAAGCGUUAUCCGGAAUUAUUGGGCGUAAAGCGUCCGCAGGCGGCCCAACAAGUCUGCUGUUAAAAAGUGGAGCUUAACUCCAUCAUGGCAGUGGAAACUGUUGGGCUCGAGUGUGGUAGGGGCAGAGGGAAUUCCCGGUGUAGCGGUGAAAUGCGUAGAUAUCGGGAAGAACACCAGUGGCGAAGGCGCUCUGCUGGGCCAUCACUGACGCUCAUGGACGAAAGCCAGGGGAGCGAAAGGGAUUAGAUACCCCUGUAGUCCUGGCCGUAAACGAUGAACACUAGGUGUCGGGGGAAUCGACCCCUCCGGUGUCGUAGCCAACGCGUUAAGUGUUCCGCCUGGGGAGUACGCACGCAAGUGUGAAACUCAAAGGAAUUGACGGGGGCCCGCACAAGCGGUGGAGUAUGUGGUUUAAUUCGAUGCAACGCGAAGAACCUUACCAGGGUUUGACAUCCUGCGAAUCUCUUGGAAACUUGAGAGUGCCUUCGGGAGCGCAGUGACAGGUGGUGCAUGGCUGUCGUCAGCUCGUGUCGUGAAAUGUUGGGUUAAGUCCCGCAACGAGCGCAACCCACGUCUUUAGUUGC
rnacentral:rRNA from 1 species